GACGAACGCUGGCGGCGUGCUUAACACAUGCAAGUCGAACGGAAAGGCCCUGCUUUUGUGGGGUGCGCGAGUGGCGAACGGGUGAGUAACACGUGAGUAACCUGCCCUUGACUUUGGGAUAACUUCAGGAAACUGGGGCUAAUACCGGAUAGGAGCCCCUGCCGCAUGGUGGGGGUUGGAAAGUUUCGGCGGUUGGGGAUGGUCUCGCGGCUUAUCAGCUUGUUGGUGGGGUAGUGGCUUACCAAGGCUUUGACGGGUAGCCGGCCUGAGAGGGUGACCGGCCACAUUGGGACUGAGAUACGGCCCAGACUCCUACGGGAGGCAGCAGUGGGGAAUAUUGCACAAUGGGCGGAAGCCUGAUGCAGCAACGCCGCGUGCGGGAUGACGGCCUUCGGGUUGUAAACCGCUUUCGCCUGUGACGAAGCGUGAGUGACGGUAAUGGGUAAAGAAGCACCGGCUAACUACGUG
rnacentral:rRNA from 1 species